CUGACCUCGCAGAGCUGGAACUCCGGGCGAGAGGCGUGUGUAUACCAGUGCGCCUGCGUUCGCUUGCGCGGCUUUUCAGAGUGUGCAGUUUUUCUCCGAGUUUUACCGCUUUUCCCGAAGGGGUUGAAUAGCUGCCUUGGUUAGUGGCGAGGCUCGGCACAGUCAGUGGCUGUGCAGGGUGACGGUGUUUCAGUCUUACUUAGCUCUCAGUCUGGAUCAUAUGGCAACGCGCGGCAAGAUCUACCUCUCUGGGAAAUACUGCAUGAGGUCGACCCACAGGUCUUCGCUGAUUAUCUGCUGGCAACACGAACGAGGUCAGCAUGGGGCUCACAAGGACCCGAACACUUCAUGAACAGCGAAGAACUCCAACACAACUCGCCAAUUCUGCAGAGGCCCAGAGCAACCCCAUCUCAGCUUUCCUGUUUGAUCCCGGGCUGUUGUGAUCCAACAACCAGUUGAGGCUGCUGGUUUCCAGCCUGCGGGUUAGAGCUCCCCUUUUAUAAACCCAGAACCAGUGGCCUGGAGUGCAGUGACACGGUGUAUAUCCUGGAGGAAGACAGGGGAGGCAGGGCAGGAUCGUGCAGGAGGAGCAUCCACUCCCUUCCCCACCCACCCACACCACCCUGGGAGGCAGGUUGUAUCAGUGAUGUCAAGGUAGUACUCCUUAAUGAUCACUGUGUUCCUGAAGUAGGGUUUGCUCCGAAAAGAGCAGCGGUUGGCAGCGGUUAGCGGGACCAGAGAUGCCUCAGUUCCUACACCUGCCAGGACCAGGAGGAGGGGAAAUGUGCAAGUUUCUAGGGUCUGCAGCUUGCCUGCAGUGCAGGCAUCAACAGCUUCUGCCUCUCCACUCAAGUGCUCUCACCGCAUCAGAUGAUCCCCCACUUCUCUGCCCAGCUCCCCUACCUGUCCUCAUUCUCCUUCAUUGACCUUCAAAUCCAUCAUGUAGCUAAGCAAGAUUUCGUCUUGUUCACUGAUCAUGACGAAUAGUUGGCCGUUGUUCACAGUCCAGCACCGGUCAAGAAGCCAGUCAUAGCACAUUCCGUGCCAGGUAGAGCUACAAGCAACAGGGCUAGUCUGGGAUGGAACAAGUGAGAGGGUAAGAGGCAGAACGCCUAGGGGCCUGCAAACGGAAGAAAUAGGCUGCAAGUGUCACAGAUUUUUUUAUCUUUCUCUUAAGCGGCAGGAGAAAACAAACUACAAGUGUCAGAAUUUAUUUCCCUUCUCUAUACAAAAUUAAAAGGAGGUUUCUUUUACAAUUCUGUGUUGUCAUGACAACACCUGGUUCCACCUGAACUUAACUUUCUCAAACCUUGAGCUAACCAAUGCAUUUUUCUUAUGGAAAUGUUUUUCUUAAGCUAUGCUAAUGAAUUAUGUAUUUACCCUAGACUGCCUGUCUUCAAAUUGGUUCCACCCAAGGCUCAGAACCAAAGAUGCCUCAAUAAACCAGCCAAGAAUCCCAGCCUCUUUCAUGGUUCAGCAACAAUAUAUCACAGGGAUACUGGAACAGGCAUCUGAAAGCACUCUGGGCACUCAUGCUUGCCUGCCCGCCCCACAAAUGUCCCCAGCCAGUGCCAUAACAUCAGACAUGCUCACGGCUCUUGGUCCCCUGUGGUCUUCAGCGUCUGAAGGUGUCUGCAUUCGCCAAGGGAGGGUCGGUUUCUGACCACUUCUGAUCUCUGACUGGCCUGUGUGUGCUAAGUAGUGGCAUGUCACUGCUUAGAACGUCAGGAACUGCAGUCCCUUUGGCACACCUUGUCUGCGGGCAAGUGUGUGUGUUGUGUGUGGGUAUGUGUGUGUGUC